rnacentral:rRNA from 1 species
AAUCAACGCUGGCGGCGUGCCUCAGACAUGCAAGUCGAACGCGAAAGUCCCCGUUCGGGGGCAAGUAGAGUGGCGCACGGGUGAGUAACACGUAGGUAAUCUACCUUUGGAUGGGGAAUAACAACCGGAAACGGUUAGCUAAUACCGCAUAAUGCAGCGGCACCUAAUGGUGACAGUUGUUAAAGCGGGGAUCGAAAGACCUCGCGUCUGAACGAGGAGCCUGCGGCGGAUUUAGCUAGUUGGAAGGUAACGGCUUACCAAGGCGACGAUCCGUAGCCGGCCUGAGAGGGCGGUCGGCCACACUGACACUGACAUACGGGUCAGACUCCUACGGGAGGCA